CCGGGCUCUGGGGGAUCAAGGCGGGGACGCCUGGAAAAGUCACUGGUCUUCAUCGUCCCGGGCUGGCUGCCCUUGCGAACUACUGCGGGGCGUUAUUAGCUCAGUGGGCUGGAGCAAGGAGUCCCCAAGGAGAAAACUUGGGCUUGGACUUCAGUACUGCAAGGAGAACACUGCUGAAUACAGGAAACUCACAAGCAAGCUCUCUGACUGGCCUAGAAACAAAAGUGAAACCGACUUGCCUGUUUUCUUCCAGCAAGUUGAGUGAAGCACUCAAAGUCAAAGGGACUAGACACUUAUAUUGAAAGGCAGCAUAUUUAAAACUGGAUAUAUGGCAAUCGCUAGUAAUGGCAUAAGGAGGAAACUUUUCCUGUGAGUAGGUUAUUUCAUAACUGUAUCAUACAGGAUUUUCUGCAUUUUCCUCUGAAGCAGCCAUGUUGGUGAGAAGAUACUUGACUAGAUUGGCUACUGGUCUGAUCCAGUCUGGCAAUUCCUAUGUUCAACAAAUGCAGUGGGAAUGCCACCACUUUUGGAUGCUACAAAAUAACUGUUUGACUUUGCACAUCAAUGCUGCACAAUAGCGUGCGUGUGGCGGGAGGGGAGGAAAUUAUCUCAGUAUCUGGCCCUUUGUUGAUCAUGAAAGCAAGCAGGUGAGAAUAUGCAGAUGAUAAGAGUAAGCAAAGUGAUUCAUAAGCUUCCCUACACACCUAACUGCAGACCUAUAACUGUCCUGAAUUCAACCUUUUCCACUGCUGAAGCUCUUGUGAGUAGUAAAGCGCUUUCAGCUCUACUGAUGAAUGACACUAUAUAAAAGCUAGGUUUAUUAUUAUUAUUCCUAACCAUGGAACACAAUCAACUACAAAUACAUUAUUUGCUAUGAAGCAUUCUCUCUGUUUCGGUAGUGGGAGAAGGAUGCUGACUGCUUAUCGGAACAAUCUGUAAUCAUUUUAAAAAUAUGUGCCAGUUCCAAAACUCGCAUCAGAACAGCAAACAUUGACUGAGUACACGCACAUAAAAUUGAACCCUUGUGGGGAAAGCGAGGAGCUGAGAAGAUCCAUAAGAGAGGAGAAUGAAAUAAUUCCAGGAACAAAUGGCUGAAAACAAUACCCUCUUUCAACAGAAACCUUCUGAGAUCUCAGUUACAGAGCUGGCUUGACCUGCCAGUAAAGUGGAACAAGGCCACUUGGCAGACAUCUUUGUGCUUCUGGUAGAUCCCCAAGAAUUGUGCGUAUCUCAGGAAUCUGUGAGACAUGAGAGCUGAAUCCUCUGCUUCUUCUGUAUCAUGUGCAAAUAGACCUCCUCCUCCCCCAACCCUGAUAGGAUUCAAAGGAAAGCCCAUCAUGGGAAUGUCCCACUGUGACACUCUGUAGCUCAGGGGAACACCCUGCACCCCCAUGCUCAUCCUUAUAAUAUGAUUGUGUGGUAUCCAAUGCAAAGUUUGUCAUGUUGGGUGUCUUUGGAAGGCUCAUGAUGUACU